GGACCGUUGGCAGAAUUGGCAUUGCGUCUGACUACGAGCGGCUUCCCGUCAAAAGGAGUUGUAAUCAGUUGACAUCAGGAGAUUCUCGGUUCGAGCCCGAGGCGGUCCU